AUUAUCGGACAAUGGGGGCAACCCUGAUCCAGCCAUCCCGCGUGUGCGAUGAAGGCAUUCGGGUUGUACAGUACUUUUGGCAUGGAAAAAAAGGCCUCGGCGAAUACCCGAUUGCUGCUGACGGUACCUGCAGAAUAAGCACCGGCUAACCACGUGCCAGCAGCCGCGGUAAUACGUAGGGUGCAAGCGUUAAUCGGAAUUACUGGGCGUAAAGGGUGCGCAGGCGGUUUGGCAAGAAGGAUGUGAAAUCCCAGGGCUUAACCUUGGAACUGCAUUCUUAACUGCCGGGCUAGAGUAUGUCAGAGGGGGGUAGAAUUCCGCGUGUAGCAGUGAAAUGCGUAGAGAUGCGGAGGAAUACCGAUGGCGAAGGCAGCCCCCUGGGAUAAUACUGACGCUCAUGCACGAAAGCGUGGGGAGCAAACA
rnacentral:rRNA from 1 species